rnacentral:rRNA from 1 species
AUUGAACGCUGGCGGCAUGCCUUACACAUGCAAGUCGAACGGUAACAGGUCUUCGGAUGCUGACGAGUGGCGAACGGGUGAGUAAUACAUCGGAACGUGCCUAGUAGUGGGGGAUAACUACUCGAAAGAGUGGCUAAUACCGCAUGAGCUCUACGGAUGAAAGCAGGGGAUCGCAAGACCUUGUGCUACUAGAGCGGCCGAUGGCAGAUUAGGUAGUUGGUGGGAUAAAAGCUUACCAAGCCGACGAUCUGUAGCUGGUCUGAGAGGACGAUCAGCCACACUGGGACUGAGACACGGCCCAGACUCCUACGGGAGGCAGCAGUGGGGAAUUUUGGACAAUGGGCGCAAGCCUGAUCCAGCAAUGCCGCGUGCAGGAUGAAGGCCUUCGGGUUGUAAACUGCUUUUGUACGGAACGAAAAGCCCUGGGUUAAUAUCCUGGGGUCAUGACGGUACCGUAAGAAUAAGCACCGGCUAACUACGUGCCAGCCGCCGCAGUAAAAC